rnacentral:lncRNA from 10 species
GUUGUUAUUUUUUUCUUAUUUCGGGUAGUAAGCAUCUGAAAUAAUAAAAUAGAAACAAGAAAAUAAAGCGAUGCAUAACCUGAUCUCCAGAGAUACAUGCUAAUAUUUCAGGGUAUAUCCUCCUAGUGUUUCUUCUUUGCAUAUGUAAAUAGAUAUUUCUUCCAAAUUGAAAAUAUAUACAAUAUAUAUUUUUCUACUCUGAUUUUUAAAUCUUUUUUUUUAACUUUUAGGUUCAGGUGUACAUAUGCAUGUUUGUUACAUAGGUAAAUUACGUGUCACAGGGGUUUGGUAAACAAAUUAUUUCUCACCCAUAUAAUAAGCAUAGUACCGUGUCUGGAAUUGGUGGGUUCUUGGUCUCACUGACUUCAAGAAUGAAGCCGUGGACCCUCGCGGUGAGUGUUAGCAGUUCUUAAAGGCGGCGUGUCCAGAGUUUGUUCCUUCUGAUGUUCGGAUGUGUUCAGAGUUUCUUCCUUCUGGUAGGUUCGUGGUCUCGCUGGCUCAGGAGUGAAGCUGCUGACCUUCGCAGUGAGUGUUACAGCUGUUAAGGCGAUGCCUCUGGAGUUGUUCGUUUCUUCCGGUGGGUUCGUGGUCUCGCUGGCUUCAGGAGUGAAGCUGCAGACCUUCACGGUGAGUUUACAGCGCAUAAAGGCAGUGUGGACCCAAAGAGUGAGCAACAGCAAGAUUCAUUGCAAAGAGCGAAAGAACAAAGCUACCACAGUGUGGAAGGAGACCCAGCAGGUUGCCAUUGCUCUCUGGGGCAGCCUGCUUUUAUUCUCUUAUCUGGCCCCACCCACAUCCUGCUGAUUGGCCCAUUUUACAAGAGACGAUUGGUCCGUUUUGACAGGGUGCUGACUGGUGCAUUUACAAUCCCUGAGCUAGACACAAAAGUUCUCCAAGUCCCCACUAGAUUAGCUAGAUAGAGUGUCCACACAAAGGUUCUCCAAGUCCCCACCAGAGUAGCUAGAUACUGAGUGUCAAUUGCUGCAUUCACAAACCCUGAGCUAGACACAGGGUGCUGAUUGGUGUGUUUACAAACGUUGAGUUAGAUACAGAGUGCCGAUUGGUGUAUUUACAAUCCAUUAGCUAGACAUAAAGGUUCUCCAAGUCCCCACCAGAGUAGCUAGAUACAGAGUGUGGAUUGGUACAUUCAUAAACCCUGAGCUAGACAAAGGGUGCUGAUUGGUGUGUUUACGAACCUUGAGCUAGAUACAGAGUGCCCAUUGGUGUAUUUACAAUACCUUAGGUAGACAUAAAGGUUCUCCAAGUCCCCGCCAGACUCAGACGCCCAGCUGGCUUCACCCAGUGGAUCCCACACGGUGGCCACAGGUGGAGCUGCCUGCCAGUCCCAAGCCCUGAGCCCGCACUCCUCAGCCUUUGGGUGGUCCAUGGGACUGGGUGCCAUGGAGCAGGGGGCGGGGCUCGUCCGGGAGGCUCCAGGGGCACAGCAGCCCACGGCAGGUGGCGGUGAGGCUCAGGCAUGGCGGGCUGCAGGUCCCAAGCCCUGCCCCGCAAGGAGGAGCUAAGGCCCUGCGAGAAAAGGAGGCAGCUAAGGCCCGGUGAGAAGUCGAGCACAGCAGCUGCUGGCCCAGGGGCUAAGCCCCUUACUGCCCGGCUGGCGGGGCCGGCUGGCUGCUCCGAGUGUGGGGGCCCGCCGAGCCCACGCCCAUCCAGAGCUCACGCUGGCUCACAAGCGGCACGCACAGCCCCGGUUCCCGCCUACGCCUCUCCCUCCUCACAUCCGGGCAAGCUGAGGGAGCCGGCUCCGGCCUUGGCCAGCCCAGGAAGGGGCUCCCCCAGUGCAGCCGCCGGCUGAAGGGCUCCCCAAGUGCCGCCAGAGUGGGCGCGGAGGCCGAAGAGGCACCGAGAGCGAGCGAGGGCUGUGAGGGCCGCCAGCAAGCUGUCACCUCUCAGUACCGCACAGUAAUAGUGUCAUCAUCAUGAAUGAGUUUCUCACAUCAAAAAGUGUGUUCCUGCUGCUUUCCAUCUGCUUUUCUUCCUCUUUAACCUUGCUGGGACAUCUAAAGAGAUGCAUAAUAAAUCAGGUGUUAAGGAAAAAGAACAAAACAAAACUGGCUAUCUGGAUCAACUGGGAUGCUAGGAAAAGCACUGCAGAGGUUCAAACUUCAAAGCUUGUCAAUUUGGAAUAUGCAGAGUGCUUGAUGCCAAGAAGUAUCAAUUUAGGAUGCCACUUGCCUAAAUACCGAUCAAAUAAUAUUCAAUAACAAAAUGAUACAAACCUACAAAAGGAAGGGCACAGGACAGGAAGAAGUAUGAACAAGAAAAAAAAAAUAGGCUGGGUGCGGUGGCUCACGCCUGUAAUCCCAGCACUUUGGGAGGCUGAGGUAAGCAGAUCAUGAGGUCAGGAGAUUGAGACCAUCCUGGCCAACAGGGUGAACCUCGUCUCUACCAAAAAUACAAAAAUUAGCUGGGUGUGGUGCCGCGCGCUUGUGUCCCAGCUGCUCUGGAGGCUGAAGCAGGAGAAUUGCUUGAAGCCGGGAGGUGGAGGUUGCAGUGAGCCAAGAUCGUGCCACUGCACUCCAGCCUAGUGACAGAGCGAGACUCCGUCUCAAAAACAAACAAACAAAAAAAAAAAACUGGCCCAAAACUGAUAAAAAUGCAGUCUGAAUAAGUAGAGCAAAAGGCGCAGAAAAUGUUUCCUCUUAGAAGAGGCCUUGAAGACUUUAUAUCUGAGAACUAAAUAUAGCAAUUUUAUUAAGUUAUAUAUAAUAAUAUUGAGAUUUUAAAAUACAGUGAUGGAAAAACUAGAACACUUAAAGAUAGAACAGCCAACUUCUCAUCAGAAAUAUGAAAGUUAUAAGGCAAAUAGUUUUCACAGUAUAGUUCUAGAACCAGCAAUAUUGGCAUCACUUUGAACAUGAUUAGAAAUUCAAACUCUCAAGACCUACCCAGAUCCACUGAUUUGGAAACUAUAUCAGUAAUCUGGUUUUUUUAAUAAUUUUUUUAAUUUGUAAUUUUUUAAUUAUUAUUUUUGUAGAGACGAGGUCUUGCUGAGUUGCCUAAGCUGGUCUUGAACUCCUGGACUCAAGUGAUCCUCCUACCUCGGCCUCCCAAAAGCAGCAAUCUAUGUUUUAACAGACUCUCCCUGUGAUUCUCAUGUGUGUUUAUGUUUGAGAACCACUGCUUCAAGACAAUGAGGUCCUUAUCUACCUGCUAGAGCCGGGGAUGUUUACUAAUGGACUGAUAUAUUACCUAAGAUUUCGGCUAUGAUUUAAUACAGAUAUGAGAAGAAAUAUGAUGUUCAUUUUAAGAUGACUCAGAUAGUGUUAACUAGGGAUGGAUUAAAUUGAGAGCCCAGGCUGGAGUGCAGUGGCGUGAUCUUGGCUCACUGCAAGUUCCCAUCUCCAGAGUUCACACCAUUCUGCUGCCUCAGACUCCGGAGUAGCUGGGACUCAGGAGCACGCCACCACGCUCGGCUAAUUUUUUUGUGUUUUUUUUAGUAGAGAUGGGGUUUCACCGUGUUAGCCAGGAUGGUCUCGAUCUCCUGACCUUGUGAUCCGCCCGCCUCAGCCUCUCAAAGUGCUGGCAUUAGAGGCGUGAGCCACUGCACCCUGCCUAAAUUGAAAGUUUACGGAAUCUGGGCUGGGCACGGUGGCUUAUGCCUGUAAUCCCAGUACUUUGGGAGGCUGAGGCAGGCGGAUCACUUUAGGUCAAGAGCUUGAGACCAGCCUGGCCAAUAUGGUGAGACCCCGUCUCUGCUAAAAAAAUAUAAAAAUUAGCUGGGCAUGGUGGUCACCUGUAAUCCCAGAUACUUGAGAGGCUGAGGAAGGAGAAUCGCUUGAACCCAGGAGGUGGAGGUUGCCGUGAGCCGAGAUUGCACCACUGCACUCCAGCCUAGGCAACAAAGUGAGACUCUGUCUCUAAAUAAAUAAAUAAACAAAUAAAAAGGUUUACUGAAUCUGAAAUGUUUGUGAUCCAGGCAAAAAGUGCUAAAUAUCUAAUACAGGGAAGUAAUUGGGAGCUCUGUUCUUUCUGCUCAAAUUUUCUGUUAACAUAAACUGCUCUAACAAAUAAUAUAUUACUUUUGAAAAUGUACUGUAUUUUAAUCUGCUGUGGGUUGCCUUUAACAACAUGAAUGGAUACUUAAUAAGAAAAUGUCAUUUUAAUCAUUUAUUGGCUUUUUAAAAAAUAUAUAUGUAAUAGAAAUUUAUAUCCUAAAAUAUAUCCUUUUGCUUUAGAAUGAUGGCAGAGCUAUAUAACUUUGGCAAAUUUGGGUGGAUUAUAUUCGAAUCACUAAUUGCUAAUACUAAAUUAUCUCACUAGACCUUUUAACACUGUGUUUGUUUUUUGUUUUUGUUUUUUGUCUUUUUUUGCAUAUUGCUUUUAUUUUGCAGAAAAUGUUUUGCUGAUUGUCUUUGGCUAUUUUGUCAGAAGAAAAAUAUAACUGUUAUAAGUUUAACAAUACAAGAUACAAUUACAUGUGCUCAAAAUAAACUCAUUCUAAUGGACUGAAUGGUGAAAUUUCCAUUUCAACUAAAAUCUGUUGUUCUACACAAUGGAUUGAUUAUAUCCUUAACAGCUCAAUUACUAUCUGAAAAGUACUCUAAAGCUAUAAGAAAUAGAAUUAAGUGUGAUUUCAUGUCACUAAAGUAAGAUCAGUGGAGUUUAUAAAUGUUAAUAUGUCCAAGUCAUCUGUAUGCUAUUAUUAGAAAUAAAAAAUAAAUUUCUGGACCCUAGCAAAUAUAUGUUUAUAAUGAAUUAAUAAUAACAAAUUAGGC